rnacentral:rRNA from 1 species
UAGAGUUUGAUCCUGGCUCAGGAUGAACGCUAGCGGCAGGCCUAACACAUGCAAGUCGAGGGGCAGCGCGGGUGGCAACACCUGGCGGCGACCGGCGCACGGGUGCGUAACGCGUAUGAAACCUGCCCCCCGCUGGGGGAUAGCCCGUCGAAAGGCGGAUUAAUACCCCAUGGCUUCCCCGGACCGCAUGGUCUGGGGAGUAAAGCUUCGGCGGCGGGGGAUGGUCAUGCGUGCCAUUAGCUGGUUGGCGGGGUAACGGCCCACCAAGGCGACGAUGGCUAGGGGGUCUGAGAGGAUGGUCCCCCACACUGGUACUGAGACACGGACCAGACUCCUACGGGAGGCAGCAGUGAGGAAUAUUGGUCAAUGGGCGGAAGCCUGAACCAGCCAUGCCGCGUGCAGGAUGACGGCCCUACGGGUUGUAAACCGCUUUUGCACGGGAAGAAUAACCCCCUCGUGAGGGGGGAUGCCGGUACCGUGCGAAUAAGGAUCGGCUAACUCCGUGCCAGCAGCCGCGGUAAUACGGAGGAUCCGAGCGUUAUCCGGAUUUACUGGGUUUAAAGGGUGCGUAGGCGGGCGCCUAAGUCAGCGGUGAAAGGCAGCGGCUCAACCGUUGAACUGCCGUUGAAACUGGGCGCCUUGGAUUCGGUCGGGGCCGGCGGAAUGCGUGGUGUAGCGGUGAAAUGCUUAGAUAUCACGCGGAACGCCGAUCGCGAAGGCAGCUGGCCAGGCCGAGAUCGACGCUGAGGCACGAAAGCAUGGGGAUCAAACAGGAUUAGAUACCCUGGUAGUCCACGCCGUAAACGAUGAUCACUGGAUGCCGGCGACACGCUGUCGGCGUCUGAGCGAAAGCAUUAAGUGAUCCACCUGGGGAGUACGAUCGCAAGGUUGAAACUCAAAGGAAUUGACGGGGGCCCGCACAAGCGGAGGAACAUGUGGUUUAAUUCGAUGAUACGCGAGGAACCUUACCUGGGCUAGAACGCAUUCGGAACCGCCCCGAGAGGGGCGCGCCAGCGAUGGCCGUUUGCGAGGUGCUGCAUGGUUGUCGUCAGCUCGUGCCGUGAGGUGUCGGGUUAAGUCCCAUAACGAGCGCAACCCCUACUGCUAGUUGCCAGCGGAUCAUGCCGGGGACUCUACCGGAACUGCCAGCGUAAGCUGCGAGGAAGGUGGGGAUGACGUCAAAUCAGCACGGCCCUUACGUCCAGGGCUACACACGUGUUACAAUGGCCGGUACAGAGGGCAGCCACCCCGCGAGGGGGCGCGAAUCCCGAAAGCCGGUCCCAGUUCGGAUCGGAGUCUGCAACCCGACUCCGUGAAGCUGGAUUCGCUAGUAAUCGCGCAUCAGCCACGGCGCGGUGAAUACGUUCCCGGGCCUUGUACACACCGCCCGUCAAGCCAUGGAAGCCGGGUGUACCUGAAGUCCGUAACCGCGAGGAGCGGCCUAGGGUAAAACUGGUGACUGGGGCUAAGUCGUAACAAGGUAACC